rnacentral:rRNA from 2 species
AAAUAUUAACUUACACCUGCCAACGCCAGGGUAUUACGAGCUUUAGCUUAAAACCCAAAGGACUUGACGGUGUCCCAUCCACCUAGAGGAGCCUGUUCUAUAAUCGAUAAUCCCCGCUAUACCUAACCACCCUUAGCUAAUCAGUCUGUAUACCUCCGUCGUAAGCUUACCAUAUGAAUGAUCACAGUAAGUUUAAAGAUUUCAUCAUCAAUACGUCAGGUCAAGGUGCAACUCAUAGGAUGGCAAGCAAUGGGCUACAAUUUCUAUACUAGAACAAACGAAACGCUGCAUGAAAUACAGCCACGAAGGCGGAUUUAGUAGUAAAAAGAAAAUAGCGUGUUCUUUUUAACUAGGCCCUGGGACGUGU